UACGUAGGGGGCAAGCGUUGUCCGGAUUUAUUGGGCGUAAAGAGCGUGUAGGCGGCCAUGCAGGUCCGUUGUGAAAACUCGAGGCUCAACCUCGAGACGCCGGUGGAAACCGUGUGGCUAGAGUCCGGAAGAGGAGAGUGGAAUUCCUGGUGUAGCGGUGAAAUGCGCAGAUAUCAGGAAGAACACCCGUGGCGAAGGCGGCAUCCUGGACCGGCAUUGACGCUGAGGCGCGAAAGCCAGGGGAGCAAACGGG
rnacentral:rRNA from 1 species